rnacentral:rRNA from 1 species
GAUGAACGCUGGCGGCGUGCCUAACACAUGCAAGUCGAGCUAUUUACUUCGGUAAAGAGCGGCGGACGGGUGAGUAACGCGUGGGUAACCUGCCCUGUACACACGGAUAACAUACCGAAAGGUAUGCUAAUACGAGAUAAUAUGCUUUUAUCGCAUGGUAGAAGUAUCAAAGCUUUUGCGGGAAAGGAUGGACCCGCGUCUGAUUAGCUAGUUGGUGAGGUAACGGCUCACCAAGGCGACGAUCAGUAGCCGACCUGAGAGGGUGAUCGGCCACAUUGGAACUGAGACACGGUCCAAACUCCUACGGGAGGCAGCAGUGGGGAAUAUUGCACAAUGGGCGAAAGCCUGAUGCAGCAACGCCGCGUGAGCGAUGAAGGCCUUAGGGUCGUAAAGCUCUGUCCUCAAGGAAGAUAAUGACGGUACUUGAGGAGGAAGCCCCGGCUAACUACGUG